rnacentral:lncRNA from 1 species
CCAAGAUGUAGAAAGAACAUAGGCAGUUCACAAUCAUUACUGAAAAAGCAACAUAGACCAUGUUCUUCCAGCUAUUUCUAAAGGUAAAAAUGCAAGUCCAAAUCUGCAUUUACAUGCAUCAAUCAGAGGUAUGUUUUUGCAAACUUUAACCACGGCAAUGUAAACUAUGCACUGACCACAAAUUGUAAAGUAAAUGAAAAAGAUAUUAGCAGUCUGAAAUUUAACUAGCUUUCUAAUUCCAAUCUAUUAUGGAAGACUCUGUUCCAAGAAAGAGUUUUUAACAAAAUAAAAAAUAAAAAAUAAAAAAUAAAAAUGAAAUUCAUUGCUGAAAGAUCCAUCUCAACGUAAAAGGAACAUCUAAACAAGCAACUAAUAUGACGUUCUUGUACUAGUGAACGCUAGAUAAUGAACACACAUAUAAAUCUAAAUUAAGAGUUAAAAGAACAUUCCUAUUGCCUGUAAUUUUAUAUUAGUAGCAAAAUAUGAAAUCCUUUAGAGGCAUGUAAUAGCACAAGUCAAAUUCGUAAGCAAACAUGGGAAAAAUUUAGCACUACUUCUAGACAUCACUAAACAUCCAAAAAUGUUAUGAGCUUAUUCCUGUCAACGACGUAUGUCAUAAACAAAUGAGCUUUGUAGCUGAUAUAAAUUAUUCAAAACUACAGAAUAAAAAAUGUAUGCCAAGAGAAACAUAAAUGGAUCCAAAGAUUCCUAAAUUUCUUGGUAAAGAAAAAAAUUAUGUCAUUGUCUUUCCUUUUUGUUCAUCUUUAAUUCAUCAUAACCAUAAUAUUGUACCUGACAAUAUCUAACAGCAUUCACAAAGUAGGAAUAGUAAUAAUGACUCUCCAAUGAAAUAUGGAUUUUGCUCCUCUACCAGACUUGUAAAUGAUUUGGUAGAGGAGCCUCUCUCACAGCAAUGGGUCCCCCAUUGGGACCCAUUAUUAAAAAAAUGUCAAAAAACACCUACCCCCAUCCCCAAAUGUGAG